UCUGGCUCAGAUUGAACGCUGGCGGCAGGCCUAACACAUGCAAGUCGAGCGGAUGACGGGAGCUUGCUCCUUGAUUCAGCGGCGGACGGGUGAGUAAUGCCUAGGAAUCUGCCUGGUAGUGGGGGACAACGUUUCGAAAGGAACGCUAAUACCGCAUACGUCCUACGGGAGAAAGCAGGGGACCUUCGGGCCUUGCGCUAUCAGAUGAGCCUAGGUCGGAUUAGCUAGUUGGUGGGGUAAUGGCUCACCAAGGCGACGAUCCGUAACUGGUCUGAGAGGAUGAUCAGUCACACUGGAACUGAGACACGGUCCAGACUCCUACGGGAGGCAGCAGUGGGGAAUAUUGGACAAUGGGCGAAAGCCUGAUCCAGCCAUGCCGCGUGUGUGAAGAAGGUCUUCGGAUUGUAAAGCACUUUAAGUUGGGAGGAAGGGCAGUAAGUUAAUA
rnacentral:rRNA from 1 species